AACGAACGCUGGCGGCAUGCCUAACACAUGCAAGUCGAACGACACCUUCGGGCCUAGGGGCGCACGGGUGCGUAACGCGUGGGAACCUGCCCUUAGGAUCGGAACAACUCCCCGAAAAGGGUUCUAAUCACCGAUAAUGUCUUCGGGCUAAAGAUUCAUCGCCUUUGGGUGGGCCCGCGCUGGAUUAGCUAGUUGGUAGUGUAAAAGCCUACCAAGGCGACGAUUCAUAGCUGGUCUGAGAGGAUGACCAGCCACACUGGGACUGAGACACGGCCCAGACUCCUACGGGAGGCAGCAGUGGGGAAUAUUGGACAAUGCGCGAAAGCCGGAUCCAGCAAUGCCGCGUGAGUGAUGAAGGCCUUAGGGUUGUAAAGCUCUUUUGCCCGGGAUGAUAAUGACAGUCCCGGGAGAAUAAGCUCGGGCUAACUCCGUG
rnacentral:rRNA from 1 species